UACGGAGGAUGCAAGCGUUAUCCGGAUUCAUUGGGUUUAAAGGGUGCGUAGGCGGGCUAUUAAGUCAGUGGUGAAAUCCUGCAGCUUAACUGCAGAACUGCCGUUGAUACUGAUAGUCUUGAGUUUGGUUAAGGUAGGCGGAAUGUGUAAUGUAGCGGUGAAAUGCUUAGAUAUUACACAGAACACCGAUUGCGAAGGCAGCACACUAAGUCAUUAUUGACGCUGAGGCACGAAAGUGUGGGGAUCAAACAGGA
rnacentral:rRNA from 1 species